UCCAUGUUGGACAGGCUGGUUUCGAACUCCCAACCUCAGAUAGGAUUCUGGUUUUCGUUCAAGAUAGUGUCCCUGACACUAGAAUCAUAAGCUCUUGGUGAAGAAUUACUUAAGCAGAUCCUGGAUUCUAGUGGAACAACUAACACCAACCAGUUUAAAGACCCCCACAGAGGAACCAAAUCAGCAAGAGAAUACCGUUUCUUCAUCUCCCUGCCCCAUGACUUCACCCCACAAUUUUCAACCAAUCAGUGGUCUCCACACUUUGGCCCACUCCAAAACCCUUAAAAACCCUACCCCCAAACUCCUCUGGGGAAAAGAUUUGAGCUUUCUUCAUGUCUCCUCAUUUGGUGGCCCUAAGAUUAAAGUUCUUUUUCUGCUGCA